GUUUAUACAUUGGAUACCCUUCCAUAAAAAACAAAUUUCAAAAUGUUCCAACGUCUCUCUCUAAUCCCACUACUCCACUGUCUGCUCCACUCCUAACCAACUUCCCCAUUCACUAUCCACUACCUCUCCUCUCUCUCUAAAGAAAAGAAAACGACAAAAAGAAAAAAAGAAUAAAAACACACUCAGAAAACUUUUUCCGGGGCCUCUCUCACAAAUUCACUCUCUCACUCUCAGAACGCUACUCUCUCUCACUGACUAUUCACCCUAAAAUUUCUCUCUCAAAAAACUCAGAAAAUUUCCUCUCACUCCCUCAACCCCAAAUCGCCGCCAUCCAUCACCGUUUCUCCUCCACGCCAUCUCACCGGCGAAACCCCACCUCCACAACUCAAUCCGCCGCCACUACCUUCCACCGUUCCUCAUUCACAAAUCAACCCUAAAACCCUUCACCAUCACGAAGUCCCCAACCUCGUCUUCACCACCAACAAUCGCCUCACCCUUCAACUCACCACCACCGUACACCUCCUCACCGUCAAAUCGCAACCCCACAAUCUUCAAUCGCCACCAUCCUCCGUCGAAAACCCACCGAAAAUCGCACACCGCCCUCAAAACCUCCGCCCUCAAUCAAACUUCCGUCAUCUUCCUCGCAUCACCACCCCCAAACCCAUCGUCGAAACCCGGUCGCCACCUCCACCUUCCAUCAAACCCUCUUUUUUAUAUUAACCUUCACUCAACAUCGCUGCCGGCAUCACAACAACACAAUCGGUUUUGUUUUAUGGUUCUAUUGGCUUUGAUUUUUUGCAGGUGCUGACAACAUCGGUUCAAAGACAUCACUAGCUCGUCAAGUUGUCGACACCAACAAACGAUUCCAAGCUGCUGCUGCUAUGACUUAAUUCUACUACAACUGUUAUUAUUACGGUAAAUCGAAGUUCUGUGUGUUUGAUUUCCGUCUUGUGAACAUUCUGUGGGUUGUAGAUUAAAAGUUAUAAUUAGGAGUCGGUUUUGUUAUACAUGUUAAACACAAGAUCCUCAUAACCGAAACCAGCCCGUAUUUCUUCUUGUUACACUUUUUUUUUGCUAUUACUUGAGUCUGUAAUAUAGUGUAUUUUGGUGGUCUGUCUUUGGAUUUGUUAGGGACUACUGAACUUGAUUGUGUGUUAAUUAUUUGAGUUUAUUUUUUAGCUCUGAGUGUUGUUAAUUUUGGUCUGAAAUCAUUAACCAAUGUCAUUACUGCUGGAUUUCAUCUGCAUCUUGUGAGGAAUUGCGUAGAAUUAUGAGGAAAGGUUGUAGUGAAAUUCUCGAGUGUUGUAGCAAUUUCUGUUGAGUUCCUUAAAUUAAUUAGAGUAGCAUGAUAAAACUGAGUUUUAAGUGAUAUGUUUUGAGUCGUAUUGUAUUCAUCUAAUGUGCCUUCCAAUUUCGAUGGCCACCUUGUUUCUGUUUUUAAUCUUUAACUGAUUAUUUUGUUUUGAGUUGACUCAAUGGGUAGUGUAAUAUAAUUGCAAAGACCUAUUUUCUAAAGUGUUUGUUUUAAGUUGGGUUAAGAGAAUUAUUGGUUUUUGGUUUAGAAGAUAAGUGAAUUCAAAGCCCAUUUUUUUUUGUAAUUACUACUUAUUUUUAUUUUUUCACUAAUUUUCGUUUCCUUUAUUUCUAUGUAAAAUAUAUGUAAACCGUUAUUACUAUAAACUUAAUUGAUUUUUUUUAAGCUAUUUACUUAAUUAUUGUUUUAAUAUUUCAUUUGUAAACUUAAAAUUAAUCGUUGAUUUAAUUCGUAAUUUUGUUUGAGCCAUCAUUUUCAUAUAUGUUUAAUUAAACUCAUUUGUGCAACUUUUAGGUCCGAAUAAAUCAUUUUCUAAGUCAUAUUUUCAUAAUCACUUUCAAUUUUAUUUCAUU
rnacentral:lncRNA from 1 species